GCACCAGUGGUGUAUGGUACACACGCCGACCUGGAGAUAACACAUCUUCAUCGGUGAGACGGUCGGGGUUCGAUUCCCUGCUGGUGCA